CCUCCUUCCCCGAUCUCCCCUCUCUUCCCUACUCUCUGCUCUCUCGCGGACAAGCGACGCCGAAGGGAAUGAAGCUUUGAUCUCCGGCGAUCUUCCUCUGCCGGCGUCAACACCCUAAGCUCAGAUCUGGCCGGUGUUUCUCCUCUCCGGGUCUUCUUCGGCUGAGGAGUUGCUAUUCGGUGGAUUUUGCACCGAUUGUUGACGAUCGGUGGCUAGGGCUUAGUGAGGAGCCGGAUCUCGUAUCGUCUCCGACUGGUAGGCUUACCCUCUCCUCCCCUCGUGUUGCUCACAGAGCAGUCCACACCUCCUUUCUUGCUGGAAUUGGGCAACGACGCCAUUGGGAGGUGAUCCAGAGAUUUAGGGCUUCGUCGGAUCUGUCCAGUGACGGCGGUGUGGUGAGGUCACGAGAUUGAAGGGAUUAAGAUUGAUUUCUUCUUGAUCCGGAAUGUAGAGUGGAAUUCAACACAUUGCUACUCUGUGGAUUUUUUGGUGCGGCAGCAACCCAUCCAUCAGUGUUCCCUUGAUCCAGAAUCAAACAGCAGCUGGAUUGAGGUAUGGUGUAGCGAGGUUGAUACAUAAUUAGUGUUGUGUUGAUGAAUUAGGUAUGUAUUGAAUUCGGAAUGGAUUGGAUUGGUACAUGAUUAGUUAGGGUAAUUGAUCUUAGUUGUA